UCUGUUUGAUCCUGCCAGAGGUUACUGCUAUCGGUGUUCGACUAAGCCAUGCAAGUCAUAUGUUCUUCGUGGAACAUGGCAUACUGCUCAGUAACACGUGGAUAACCUGCCCUUUGGGUCUGGGAUAACCCCGGGAAACUGGGGAUAAUACCGGAUAACGCAUAUGUGCUGGAAUGCUUUAUGCGUAAAACGGAUUCGUCCGCCCAAGGAUGGGUCUGCGGCCUAUCAGGUAGUAGUGGGUGUAAUGUACCUACUAGCCAACAACGGGUACGGGUUGUGAGAGCAAGAGCCCGGAGAUGGAUUCUGAGACAUGAAUCCAGGCCCUACGGGGCGCAGCAGGCGCGAAAACUUUACAGUGCGGGAAACCGUGAUAAGGGAACACCGAGUGCCAGCAUCAUAUGCUGGCUGUCCAGAUGUGUAAACUACAUCUGUUAGCAAGGGCCGGGCAAGACCGGUGCCAGCCGCCGCGGUAACACCGGCGGCCCGAGUGGUGACCGUUAUUAUUGGGUCUAAAGGGUCCGUAGCCGGUUUGGUCAGUCCUCCGGGAAAUCUGAUAGCUUAACUGUUAGGCUUUCGGGGGAUACUGCCAGGCUUGGAACCGGGAGAGGUAAGAGGUACUACAGGGGUAGGAGUGAAAUCUUGUAAUCCCUGUGAGACCACCUGUGGCGAAGGCGUCUUACCAGAACGGGUUCGACGGUGAGGGACGAAAGCUGGGGGCACGAACCGGAUUAGAUACCCGGGUAGUCCCAGCCGUAAACUAUGCUCGCUAGGUGUCAGGCAUGGCGCGACCGUGUCUGGUGCCGCAGGGAAGCCGUGAAGCGAGCCACCUGGGAAGUACGGCCGCAAGGCUGAAACUUAAAGGAAUUGGCGGGGGAGCACAACAACGGGUGGAGCCUGCGGUUUAAUUGGACUCAACGCCGGACAACUCACCGGGAACGACAGCAAUAUGUAGGCCAGGCUGAAGACCUUGCCUGAAUCGCUGAGAGGAGGUGCAUGGCCGUCGCCAGUUCGUACUGUGAAGCAUCCUGUUAAGUCAGGCAACGAGCGAGACCCAA
rnacentral:rRNA from 1 species